rnacentral:lncRNA from 1 species
AGAGAGGGGCACCAGUUCUGUUAAUGCAAUCAAGAAAUUCCAACAUUUUCCCCUUUAUGUCUUCUCGAAAAUCACCUUCAGAUGGCUUGCUCACAUUUGUUAAGAUGUCCGUGAAAUGAGGAGUUGUUGCUUUGACAUCUGGGAGGUUGAAUUUAUCAAGGGCAUCUCUCGCCAUCUUCAGGUAACGGAUAGUACCAUUAAAUUGUUUUUUCAUAUAUAAUGACUUCGUAAAGGGUUCGUUCCCCACGUACACAUACCUACAAAUCAAUAACUUCAACUUCAAAUCUAGAUUAAUGUAACAACAACAAUGAAUAAUAAUAAUAAUAAUAAUAAUAAUCUACCUGAAUUUAACUCCUUGGUCUGUAUAAACCUUGACACGUUCAUGAAUAUAAUCGUCCAUUUGUUUUUGCUCGACAAUAUUUCUUAAAAAGUUCUCUUGUAAGGUGAUGCCGAGCCCAAUAUUGGUUUCAGCAAAAGCAUCAAGAACAUUAAAACUCGGUUGAAAAAGUCUCAACUCUGGGAUUCCAUUUUGUAAGAGUAAAUCCACAACCAUUGAUGGAACAAACUUUUGUGUUGCCAUCCUCCCCCAAUUUAUGCCCAAGUAAGCUCUUACAUGUAUCUCACCACAAAACAAUAUCAAUGACAUCAAUAAACUUAUCCAUAGCGAACUUAUCUUUCCGUACAUUUUAGAAUUUCCACAAUCAUAUAUGAAGGCGUCUGUAAUGCAGCUCGCCUAAUAGAACCAGUCCGCUCUAUGUUUGUAAUUAUGAAUAUAAGUUGAAAAAGGAUCAUAACUUUUUCAAAAGAAUUAGACAUGCAAUGAAUAUACUUGAUGUAUUUGUGUGAUUCUGCAUGAUUGUCGCAAAAAUAUUUCGAGUGGUUCACAAUAUUAUGAGAUGAACAUCAUUUCUAUCAUAAUAAUGAGGAGUUUCUCUUGCAAUACAACCUUUAAUUUAAUUAAGCUCAAAAAUAAAUAAAUUACAAUCUUAUUUUAUCUUUUUAUCUUAUAUAAUUUAUAUAUAUAUAAAAGAGAAUCCUAGGACCCAUCACAAGUUGGAAUUUCCUUUUAUUUUACUCUCUCCGUCUCAAUUUAUGUGACACUUUUUGAAUUUCGAGAGUUAAACAAGUUUAUCUUUGACCGUAAAUUGUUCAUAUGUCUCUUAAUUAUUUUGAAUUGUCAAUUAUUGUGACUUAAAUAGUACUUUUUAUAUAGUUUAUAAAUAUAUAAAUUUCAUUUUAAACAUAUCAAACUUAAACUGUUUGACUCUCGAAAAAAACGAAAUCUGUCACAUAAAUUAGGACAUAUAUAGUAAUAUAUUUCCAAAAGCGCCCUUCCCCUCUGCAAUAGGAAGGCGAACAUCAAAUGCCACUUCAACCUUAUCAUUCUCCAACAGGCGAUCCACUUCAACAUAGUUUUGCCAUUUUUUCGCUUCUCUCUCGCAUAGCAUAUGGAUUGAUAGACAGGGUGCAAGCAAUACAAAACAGAACACCAUUAAUAAAUUACCUAGUGCUCCUAAUUUUCUUUUACUUCAUCAGAAGGGAUGUCACGAUGUGCAUCGAUCAAGCUAUGUUAGGUAUCCUUCGUCAGUUAUGUCACUAUCAUCCAUUGCCUGGUGGCAAGUUAUAUUGACAUACUCUGUAUAUGUAAUGUGUUUGUAUAAUGUGUGAGCGUUGAGGUUGACACUAAUCGGAGAAGGACAAGGAAGAUAACAAGAAAACAAAUAAUAGGCGAGGCGAGGAAAUAGUGGUUGCUAUAUGAGCUUAGAUAUACGAGGAACUAAAUAAUAGCAAGUAUGGACUGAGAUAAGACUGAAUCCCCAAGUCGCAACUCUUCAUUUUCCAUUCCAACCUUUUUAAAAUUAAAUAGUAACACAUAGAAAAAAUAUAUAUAAGGGGACUACUCCACCAAAAGACCAAGAAUUUAAUCCCUUCAACGUAUAGUUUUCAACAGCUAUAAGAAAAUUAAUAUAGCCCAUAAAUAUGAUGGUUAAAUGGAUAUUAAGGUAUUUUCAUAAUAAGUAAUAAUCACUCAUUAAAGCUAAAUAAUAGUGAAUAAAUAAAGAGUCAUUAAUAAUAAAUAGAAUAACGAAAGAAUCUUAGAUAAUAAUAUGAAUACUUUUUUUUGAGAUACUAAAAUUAUUUUUCCAACAAUUCCCUACAUAUUUGAAAAAGAAUAUUACGAAAUAGAAUGAAAUAAGAAUUUUUGCUUGAUUUUGACAUAUGAGUCUAAUGCAUCGAAUUUGGUGUCCGUAGACUAUGAACCAGACCUAUAAAACAAGAUUAUACUUUAGAAUAAUUUGGUGAUGUUUAGAACUUCUGUGAACCAAUAAUUCUUUUGUAAGUCCAAUGUCUUAUUAUAUCACAUUGUACUCACACAAUCUUUGUCGUUAUUGCAAUUUUAUGCUAAGCAGCCAUGCAUGUGUCCUGGUAUUCACGAGUGCUCUAGAAAUAUGUCACAAUUUCAUAGAAGCGGUACCACUUCAUACUCAUAUAGGUCUAAUCAUCAAGUGUAUUCUGCAGAGCAAUACAUCACCUAUAAAGGAUAUGACUUGGAUUAAGAACUCUUACUCUGCCUCACUUUGUUUUGUAGAUUAUCACACUAUAUUCACACAUCAUAGGAGGGACAAAACUUUAUAGUAUUUACUUAAUCAACUAAUGACUUGUUAUUACUCAUAUGAACCUAAUUCAUGGAUCUCCAAUCACAUAGGUUGGGUUACCAUCAUUGUUGAUCUUCUCAAAUGACUAAAGGUCUUUACUCCCCUUAAUGUUUCAUUAGUGUGUGAACUGAUCAGAUUCACCUCCGACUACACAUAAUUUAUUUUUGUAAAUAAUUCAUCCACUAUAGUCGCUUCUUCAAAUUGUGUCUCAAACACAUGUAUCAAUUUAGUCACAUAAAAAUUUAUUUUAUUCCAAUUGGAAUACACACUAAGAGUUGUCCUAACCACUUAGUCUCAUCACCAAUCAACUCCACAACAACUAAUUCUAGUUAAUUGUUUUUAUAUUAUGGCAUCCACAAAAUAUACCAAAUUCUUUUGCCUUUUUCGUAAUAUAUUGUACUCUUUUGUACAAAAAACUGUUCACUUAUUCAAUAUUGUACUUAUUGUACCUCUCAUGUAUUACCAAAUGCACUUUUCAACAUAAUGCAUCAAGAAGCAAUAUAAUUUUCAAUAAGAACAUGAAUAAUAUAAUCACUUCUUUUAAAACCUCAACAUUUUUUUUCCUCCUCAAACAUUAACAUCCAAUCAAAUAACAAUUAACUAUCACAACUAUGUAAAUGCAAUAUUUAUCAACUUACAAUUAAAAUCUUAGAUCAUGUUUUUCUUUAUACUUUUCUUUAGGAUCAUGUAGCACAACAUUAGUAACAUACCCCUAAACCUUCAAAUAUUUCAUAAUAGAGAAAUUGUAACAUCUCACAACUAGAAAGAACUAGAAGAAAGUAUAAAAUCUGGAAAUAGUUAAUUUUGAAAAGUAUGAGAAAAUCUGGAAAAUUUUAAGUAAGUUAAAAGUGAGUUUUUGGUCAUUUUCAAGCGACCAUAACUUCUAGCUCAGGAUGAGUUAGAGUUACAUUCAGAUAUGGUUGGAAAGCUCUUAUCUCGACCUUAUAUGAGUGAGUUAUGCCUUUUUGAAGUUGGGCUAUCAAAUUAAGAAAAUGUCCAAUCCGUAAUUUUUAAGGGUAUUUUGGUCUUUUGGCUACCCUAUUAUAUUAUUCCAUUUUUAGGAAUUUAAUAUUGGUUAGUUUUAGAAAAUUAGAAUUUUCACGCUAAGCCUAAGUAAAAAGGAGAAGAGAAAAGAAGAAGGAAAAAAAGGGCAAAAUCAUCAAAAUCAACCAAGAAAGUUGGUGUUUUCGCUAUGGAACUUGCUUCAAAUAGGUAUGUGAGGCUCCCAUAACGUUGGGAUUGUUCUCCCACGUUCCAAGUAUAUUAUUUCAGUUUGGAUUCGUUCUCAAAUCAUUAGAAUAUUGAUAUCUUGGUACCCAUUUCUUGAAUUCAUAUGUUGUUCUUGAAUUGCCUGAGUUGUAAAGUUUAUAAUUCGUUACGUCGCAUUAUGCGGUCAUUUCGGGUUAGGUUCUUAGGUACAUUUGUUGGGUAUCUGUAUCUAAAAGAGAAUUAAGAAACAUAACUGAGUUUGGGGAAUUGGGAAAGAAAAACGAAGAAGAAAAUUCGACGAACAAAACUGGGACAUGGUCCCCUCUGUGUGUCCAACACGCAGUUUUAAAAUUUCAGCUCUUCGACAUGAGGUGUUCUGCCUCAAAAGAUAUUUUCAAAACCAAAAUUAAAUUAUGCCUCCCCGUCGCGGACCCACCCUCAAUUUCUGAUUAUUGGAUUUUUCUCAUAUUUAUCUAUCUAGAAUCAUUCCUAAUCAUCAUGAGAUCUUUCUAAACAGAAUCUAAUUUCAUGAGUCUAUAAUUCGAUUAAAGAAUCAGUUAAGAGUCAAGUCAAGAGUAUUUAAAAAUCAAAGUUAAGAGAAAUAAAAAGUCAAAUGAGAGGAGUCAUUUCAAGUCCUCAUAAGUCUUAUACAAACAUUUUAAUUUUGUUUUUAAGACUUAAGUUUUGAGUUUAGUAAAGAGUGAAGUUGAAGUUCUUUUCUUCAAAGGUAUAAAGGACGAAGUAUUCUCAAAGAGACUUGAAAUGUUUUAUCAUUUAGCUAGUAAGAAAACUUUAAUUUUCAAGAAGCCUAGGGCAAGCUUUCAGAAAAGAACUAUAGCUUUCUAAAAGAAGCAAGCAUGGAAACUAUGAUUUCCAAGAUAGCUAUAAGCUAAGUAUUUUGAGCACUAAUCUCAAAACCACAUAAUUAGUAUGUUUUUAAAACAUAAUAGCAAGCAUAUUUUUGGGUUUAGUAUUGAGCGCCAAUAUGGAAGAGAGUUCACACAACUCACAGUCCCCAUAAACCAUGUAACCACCAUGAAUAGAAAAGGUUCAUACUUUUUAGGGAUAAUGCCCAAGUACCCCCUCAACCUUUGCCUGAAAUCCCAGAGACACACUUAUACUAUACUAAGGUCCUAUUACCCCCUGAACUUAUUUUAUUAAUAAUUUUUUACACUUUUUCGGCCUACGUGGCACUAUCUUGUGGGUCCAACGAUGGUUGACUUUUUUUUUCAAACUAGUGCCACGAAGGCAAAAAAAGGUAGAAAAUUACUUAUAAAAUAAGUUCAGGGGGGUAAUAGGACCUUAGUAUAGUAUAAGUGUGUCUCUGGGAUUUCGGGCAUAGGUUGAGGGGGUACUUGGGUAUUUUUCCUACUUUUUAAAUAAACCCUUUUUCAUAGUAGACUAGUGGAUCCAUUAGGCAGUUUAAAUCUUAUACCUUUGGCUGGGUAUAGGAUGCGCUGGGAGCGUGAGGUAUAUCAGUGUAUCAUCACUGUAAUUCUUAAGUGAUGAUUGUCGGUUAGAGAAACUCCCACAGAAGUUAUUGUAUUCUUAUGUACAUCAGUUUACUUGUAUUUUUUUAAUACAUACCAGAGUUAACUAUAUCUUGCAUAAAUUCAGUGUUUACAGUAUGUUUCAGACAGUUUUCUUUAUAUUGCACUUACCGUUAAAUUGCAUUAUAUUGAAAUGAAUUAAGUUAUUCAUGAGUUGAGCAAAGCCAAGGUAAGUGUUCCUUCUUACUUCUUUUCAAGCUUAAGUGUUGUUAGCAUUCGAACUGGCAUACUCGUACAUUCAAUGUACUAAUGUUAGUUGGCAUGCAUCGUAUUAUGAUGCAAAUGCAGGUAACUAGGAUCAAUAUCCGGCACACCGUUGAUCCAGUUGAUCACUCCAAAAUCAGUUAGUGAGCCUCUUUGCACUCCGGAGGAUAUCCUUUAUUGCUUUCUAGUUAGUUCAAUAGGAUGUUGUGGGGUUUGUCUCAACAUUCAUCUCAGUCAGUUUAGAGGCUUCAUAGACAGUUAGUAGUUUAGUAGUCUUUAUAUUUCAUUCUUGUGUUAAAGACUUGGGUUGUCAUUUUGGUGGUGUUGAAUUUUUAGAUCUUUAAGACAUUCUCACUUAUUUUCUUAUGCAGUUAAGAGAAGUUCUUUUAGCAUUAUAAGUGUGAUUGUUGUCUUCCGUUGUGUUAAGUAAGUCAGGCCAAGGGUCCGCUCUAGGCCAGCAAUGGUCACCGAGUGUCAGUCCCUCACAUGGUGUAGGCUCUGGGCAUGACAUAAAUAACAUUUAUAACCUGAGCAAGAAAGCCCUACACUUUCAGAUAUUUCAUAAUAGAGGAAUAACAUUCAACAUCCAUAAAGUUCUUUACACUAAAAUAUUUUUCGCAUCUAGUCAUUAUUUAUACAAGUCUCAAGAAAAUUGAUAGAAUUACUUCUAACAACUUAAGCCCUCAAAAACACCAAAAUAUAUUUUCUUAGUAAUCUUAAUUUCAACAUAAAUUUAUGCAUCAAAAGAAAUUCAUAUAGAAAACUUAGACAACUACUCAUUAACAGUCUUGAAAACAAUCUCAAACAGUAAGGAUAAAUAAAUUACCAUACUAUUCCAAACCAUACAACUCAUGUCAUUAAUAUUCACAAACAUUAGGCAAUUUGUUAGUUGCAAACAUAAAACAAGGCAUGUUUAUCAUUUUUUUCCUUUAUAAUUAUCAAAAUAUAAUAGCAAAUUAAACAUUAAAAGCACCUGAUACCACCAUGGUUUUCAUUUUAUCAAACCCAUAUAAACAUUCAUUUAUUUUCUAAUAAUCACAUAAAAUCAUAUUGACUUGACUACUAUAAUCAUGUACCACCUAAGAAAAUGCUAGUAUAUAGAUGUGAAUGUUUAAGAAGAAUUUUUUAAUUCUAAGAACUUAAAGUUAGUUCUAUAAUUUUUUUUUUCUUCUUCUCCAAUUUGGGUGUCGAACACAAUAAUUUUAGUUAGCACAAAUGUACUUAACAACACAAAAAUUCUAUCAUCCAAUUUCUCACUUUCACACAUUAGCCACAAGUCACUUGAGAAAUGACCACAACAAUCUAUAUCAUCGUGCAUUUUGGUGAAUUUCAAAUCAUGAUUUGGAAUCUCAAAUCAAGCUUUAUAUUAUUAUUUUUUUAAAAAAAAAACAUGAUUUGGAAUCUCAAAUCGUGCAUUUUGGUGAAUUGCAAAUCAUGAUCUCAAAUUGUAUGUCCAUAUAAUGACGUAAAAAUCAUGAUUUCAUAUCGCAUGUUCAGACACAAAUUAAAUUUAAAAAUACUUUAUUUUAUUUUGAAACUGACUUAAAAAAUAAAAUGUGUCACAUAAACUGAGACAAAGAAAAAUACGUAUAUGAUUAAUGUUGAGGCGAAUUUAAGUUUAUAAUUUUUUAUUUUGGUUUAUUUGGUUGUAUGAGAUUAAUAUGGGGAAGGGCUCCCUCUAUAAAGUGGUGUAUUGAUUGAAAUUUUUCUAUCUUUAAUAAUGGCUCUAGGUUGCGAGUAGGUGUAUAUAAGUCAGAUUAAUUUGUUUUUUGAUUAAAAAAUAAUUAGAUCAAUUAUGUAAAUUAAUUAAAUCAAAUCUAUAAACCAAAUCAAAUCAACAUAAAAUCUUUUUUUUUUCAUUUUUGCUUUUAUUUGAUCUUUUAACUCUUUCGAUUUUUCUAACAAUCAUACAGUGAUUGAAAAAAGAGAUCAAAUAUAUUUUAACUUAUUUAUAUGAUAGGAUAGAACUUUAAAAUGUUAUGAAUAGAAAUCUUUCGAAAAAAUUAAAAAUCACGUGAGUACAAAAUACUUUUACUAAAAUAUCAAUGUUCAAUAUGCUAAAUUUAUAAGAUUCAAGACUAUUGUCAAAAUGAUGUGUAUAACAAUGUAAUUGUAUUGUCCAAUAUGAAUACAAAAUAAAUACUUACACUAGUGUGUGUGCGUGUGCGUCCGUUCAUGUGUGUGCUUGCUUUCAUGGGCGGACCGGACUGAUAGAAAUUAGAAUAUACUUAGCAGUGAACCCAUAAAAAACAAAAGUGUCCUUGUGCAAUUGGUAGAAGCUAAAGAUAUCACCCUCUAGGCCAGGUUCAAAUCCCACUUAAGCUUGUUUUUAUUUUAAGUUUAGCUUAGACCUCAUAUUUAAGUUAUGUUUAUAUUGGUGCACGCAAAGUCUUCAAGUCAUGGGUUUGCCUCUGCUUGCUUUAAAUUUUCUUCCAUUAAAAGAGUAUAUUUUUAAUUAUUACUUGCAAAUAAUUUUUUGCUAAUACACAUACAUUAAAAAUAAUAGAAAAUAGGUUCUUAAAAAAUAUUAGCAAUAUUCAAACAUGAAUUUAAUUAUUUGUCAUUAUCACAUAACUCAAGAACCUCUAAUGAAUGAAUUAUUAAUGAAAUAAUAAAUCGUUGGUACUUUAAUCAACAUUAAAAGGAAAAUGAAGAAGAAAGUAAGAAUAUAUAUGCAAAGGCAUUUUGUAAUAAAAGAAAAUAUUUAAGUUGCAUAGAUUAUACAAUUGUGAUAUAUGUCUUAGGAGAAAAUUCAAAAAAUUGUUAGCAUGUUCAAAAAAGAAAUUACGCUUGAACGUGAAAGCAAUUAUAACUUUUGAACUUGCAUACUUAAUUUCUUCAAUUGAUAAGUAAGAAAUUUUAUAUUUAUGUAAAAGUAGAUAAUAUGUAAGUUUAUAUAUAAUACUUUUAAGUUAUAUAAUUUAAUAUAAAAUAUCAAAACAUGAAUUCUUAAAACUGAGUACAAUAAUUAUUUUCUGCACAAUCUAUACGUGUACUAUAUGUGCAUAUGUUCAAUUUAACCAGAGUAAUAACUUUGCAGAAACAUAAACAAGAGAGUUUAAAACAUGUACACAAAAACAAAAAUUAAUAUCACAAACAUACAUUAUGAGUGAAAAAAAACAUACCAGGAUAAGUAAAAAUAACAUAAAAUAGUAUCACACCCCAAGCUACCCCCGAGACGCGGACACGGAACCUAGGACCACAAGUAAUCCCAAACUAACCCUGUUGGCAUGAUCAUGAGCAUACUAAAGAUAAUAAACUGAUGCGGAAACUCAAUCAUAAUUAAAUCUGAAAAGAUGGAGAAUACUCACAUUCUAUAACUGAGAUAUUUGAAAACAAUGAGUUUAAUACAAAGGAAAAAUUAACUCAAUACUAAGUUGAAUCUAAUUAUGCCUGAAAUAAGCCUCUAAAUUGGACUAGAAAUACUGGGACAAGCCCCAUCUAAAUCUAGCAAAAACUAAAACUAAAUGACUAAAGACUGAAAUGAAACUCAUAAUUGUUGUCCUCAGAGAAUGAGGACUCACCACUGAAUCUACUGAACUGGAGAUAGGAAAUCGAUUUAUGGGUGAUCUGGAUGCUGAGUUCCUAAACCUACAUCACAAAAGAUGUAGCGCACGUAUGCUUCAGUACUUGAAAGGUACUGAGCAUGUAGGAUAGAGUAAAACUGAAAGAAAACAUAAUUGAACAAGCAUAAAAGCUAGUGUAAUAAUCUGACAUGAUAAAUUGAAUUAUGAGUUAACUGGAUGCAAUGACCAAUUUAUAACAUGCUGAAACUGAUUACUGAAUAUACUGAUAAAUGGUCAAUAUAAAGAGUCUAACUGAACUGUGACGUGUUGACGUGAUCACUAACUGAUUGCCCACAGUAAUGACUUACAACCUACUUGGCUAGUAGUUCUGGGACUAAUUGGGUACGCUGAACCCUAGUCCAACUCGGUAUUAUGCUACUUCCAUGGAUUCUGUAAAUUUACUGAUUACGUCUGAGUUUUUGUAAAUACUGGAUAGCUCGAAACUGAACAUCCAAACUGAGAAUGCAACAAUUAAUCUGGUAAUUAUGUAUUUAUAACUGAGGCAUGUAUAUCUGAAAUGUUUGAUUUAUCUGACCUAACAUGUGUAAUUCAAGAACUAAAGAAAUACAUAGCUAGGGCUUUGAAAUUCAUGCAAUAAACUGAAUAAUAAUAACAUGAUAAUCCGAUUUGGAACAUAUAAUUAAUAAGUUCAUGAAGUUCUAGAAACCCUAGAUCUAAUCAUGAUAUGGUAAUCAAGAAUCUGACUGAAAACUAGGAUCCCAAUGGGUGAAAGUAACCAACUAGUGAAAUUUCACAUACCUGGUGAUGAAAUCUACGGAAAGAACUUAAGUUUCAGGUCUGGAACUGCUGGAACUUGUUCCGUUCUUGAACUAGGGUUCUUGAGCUUUUUCUCUUCUAUUGCUUCCAAAUUUUCUAAGUUUUGAUUUAAUUAUUUGACUUAGAUAUGCUUUAGUUAUGUUUCUAGGAUUAAAUUGACUAUAAUCUGAUUAUUGAGGGUCAAAACGACGUAACUUAAGAUUUAAACGAAGUGAGAAAAGACCAAAAGACCCUCGGUAAGUUGCUGUCGGACUAAACAACGGCCAGGACUGACGAUCCGUUGCCUGAUCGACGCCCGUCGUUGGGUCCGUCGACUGGGCCUGCUCGACAGACCUUUGCUAAAAUGUGCAUAACUUUUUACUCGGAUGUCUGAUUUUACCAAGGUCGGUAGCUAUUUAAAGUUAAUUCAAUUAUUUAUCUGUGGGUAGGUGAUGGGAGACCUAAUUCAUUUUGUGCUAAAAGUUAUGGCCAUUCAAAGUUUACCCAACUGCAUUUCCCCCUUAAUUGUCUGCUAAUUCCCACCUACAGUCAAACCUAUGGACCGUGUUGGUCAUCCGUAGCUCUUGUCAGAGAGUGGGCGAAUAGAGGUCUCGAUCAACGGUCACGGACUACGGACCGUCGUCUGAUCUACGGACCAUGUUGGUCAUCCGUAUCUCUUGUCAGAGAGUGGGUGAAUGGGGGUCUCGAUCAACGGUCACGAACUACGGAUUGUCGUGUGACCUACGGACUGUAGGUCCGUCCAUCGAUGAAGACGUACCCAAUUUUUUUUCCAGCUGAUUUGGGAGUCUCUGAUCCCAUCGACGGUUGUGCAGGAUGGACCGUGGAUCAGGCUACGGUCCGUCGAUGCCACCGUUAGUUGCACCUGCAGAUUUUUUUUCUGUAAAGCUGGUUUUUUGUCUGUUUUGGCUAUGGGGUGUUACAAAUAGAAAGGAAAACAUUGAGUCCACUAAAUGCAGAAUGUCCCCUUAAGAAAUCUAUUCUCCUCCAAUACCAUAGGUUUGAAGAAUUACAUUCUCUCAAGAUGGAAUGAUUUUAUUCAUUAACUUAUUUAUAUAAAAAACAGUGGUGUCAGUAAGUCACUCAACAAAGCAAAGUACACGAAUAUUUAACUUGGCGGAAGUAGAAGAUGAAGAUCAAAAUUUUUGUUGUUUUAAAAUGAGAGAAAAUCUCUCUAUUUUUAGACAACAAAGGGUAGUGUGAACAAAUUUCUAUUGUGACUUAUCAGAAAAGUUAAAACUAUUUGGAAAAGUCAAAACCCUUCAGAAAGUUCAUAACCUUUCAUAAAAAUCACAACUUUUCAUAAAGUCGCCAGUCUUCAUUAAAGUCACCACUUUUUAUAAAAGUCACAACUCUUCAUUAAAGUCACAACUUUUUAUAAAAGUUGCGACUCUUCAUUAAAAUCGCAACUUUUCAUAAAAGUCAAAACUUUUCAUAAAAAUCGCAAUUCUUCAUUAAAGUCGCAACUUUUCAUAAAAGUCUUGUUUAUGAUGGCGCCAUAUAUGCGGACCUAAGGUUCUCUUUUAUAUAAAUAUAUGAUUAUUAUAAUAUUCCUAAAGAAUAAAAAUAUAAAAGGUGGAUUUCUCUUUUUAAAAAACUCCAAACAAGAAGAAAAAUAGUGAUUUAUAAUUAUGUCAACCAAAUAUUAAUUUCUCUAUUUUUUCCAUGAGUCAACUUUGAUGUAGUUAUUGACCAACACUUUGUAUUCUUGUAAAAUAAAAAAUAUUACCUCAAAUUAAUCAGGAUUUUGUAUGAACAGAAUAUAAUUAAGAUAAUUAUAUAUGUUUACUGCAAUAAAUAUUUUUCUAUUUUAUAAUUAAUCAAAUCCACCAUUAAUAUUAAGAUAAAUUAAUAUUAUUUUCUGUCAAAAUCAUAAUUUAAUUAUGAUAAUAUCACUUGAAAGUAAGACAAGUAUAGUUUGUCAAAGUUUAAUAAAGAAAUUUGUUUCUCUUAAUAAUUACAUAUAUCUACUGAUAAUUUAAAAACUAUAAAUUCAAAAGUCUAAAUGCAUUAAAUAUAGAUUAAUUGAUAAUAAAUUUAUUAGUUAUAUAAGGAGUCAUUUGAUCAAUUUUAAGAGAAUACAUAUUUCUUUUCUAAACCUUGUCUACUUAGAAGGAGAACAUUUUUUUUCUGAAGUGUAUUGCGAUUCUUGAAUUAAAUAUAUGCAAUAAAUUAAGAAAAGAAAACCAUUAGAUUAUAUAUUUUUUAGCAAAGUUGUCACUCACUAAAAAAAAUUCUCUUCAUAUUUUUAAAAUAUUGCACAUAAUUGAUUGUUUUUUAAUAUCAUUUUUUAAUUUAGAGAAAUUUUUCAUCAUUCAUACUUCGAAUAUGAAUAACUCAAUUUUUUCUUCUCCUUCACUUCGUGUAUUACUUUGAUAUCCUUUAUGUGUCAGAGCAUUUCAUACUCACAUGGAAUUCACUAAAUCAUGUUUUGGUCACUCAUCCGUCAUUGCAUGAGAGAGAUAUCAUCUUACGUUCUCAUGUAUACGCCUCCAUUAUUUUAUUGACAGAAAAUUCGCAAUCAGCUCAAGCCACACAGCACGCAAGUUUACAAAAUGUUAUCAUUCCUUUUCUAACAUAAGCAUAUGGAACGUUUUUCAAGGAAAUCCGCCAUCAACUCAACCUGCAACCCAACACAUGCGAGUUCGCAAAAUGUCAAUCUACAUUCUUCUAUAUUUGCAUUCAAUAGUAUUUUUUUAAGGAAAUAUGUCAUGAACUCAACCUUCGGUCCUACAACGUACGAGUUGGCGAAGAAAUAAUGGUGUGGUUAUUCUGUCAACAUCGUCGUAAAAUCGUAGCCACCCCAUAGGAAAUGACAAACACUAGCAAUUAAUAGACAACAAAUGGCAAGAGGAAACAAUGUUAUACCGAUAAGCAGGGGCAGAGCACCACAAGUGAAUAGGCUACAAAUGGAAAUAAGAAACAAAGUUGGAGGUUCAAAUUCAUAUUUAAGAAGUUCAAAUCAGACUAUUGUUUACGGUACAAGAUAAUUGAUAAAUCAAUUGAUUGUUCCUGUUUCAUCGAAUGUAGGUGAACUAGUUAACAUAGAUGAAGAACAAAAAGAUUUGUACUUUAACUUGCGGCUUUAACUACAACAAAAUUUAUGUGGAUCUUUUUUGUAACGAGGUGUCUAAAAAUAUGCUAAGUUUGGAGUCUUUACUUUAAUUUUAUUUUGUAUAUGUUUGUCUGAUAGAAGGGUGUCGAAAAGUGUGAAUCUAUUGUUUUAUUUUAUUUUAUUUUAUUAUUGGUCGGACAUGGUGAUGGUCUAAAAUCAUGUUAUGACUGUAGUUUGUUGUUUCUUUCAUCUAAUAUUUAUGUUGAUUUAAAUCAUCUAAAUCGAUACCUUUGUUUAAAUAUAAUUAAUUUUGUUAGUAUUAUUAAGCAAAAAUAUAAACUUUCGGCUAUGAAAUUAUUAUGAUACAUCACACAAUGCUUUACCUUGUUAUUUUAACAUCAAUUCCGUUAUCCUGCAACCCACCCAAAAAAGUCAUUUGUGUAAAAAAUAAAGGAAUAUUUCUUUCUCAUGUUUUCUAUUUUCUAAAAUUUAAGUGAAGUCGAAGAUGAUUAAUUUAGUAGGAUUCAAUUUGUGGAUCAUUCUUCAACAAUAAACUUGUAAUUAUAAUUAAACAGACUUUAGAUUAUUUAGUUUCAUUAAUGAGACUAAACUCAUUCACAGUAUAAUCAAAACCUCGUUAUAAUGUAAUUUUAUUAUAAUGGCACGAUUUUUCCCUAUAAUCAAUUUUUCAUGUUAUAUUUAUUUCUCUAGACAUCAGUUUUUCUUUCUUGUUUCCAUUUCUAUGUUUGCACAUGUAUGCUAAUUUUUAAAAUUAUCAUCGUCAAUGCAUGUUAGGAUUGUUGUUUAAGUGAUUUUUAUUAUUUUCAUUGUAGUUUUCAGCAAAAUUAACAAAUUGAAAUACCCCAAAAAUGGAAAACAAAUUUGGGGGGGGGGGGGGGAGGGUGGGUAAGUGGUAACCAUUCUGUCUCUCCCUACUAUAACAACGUGUAUGCUAUUCAGGAUUACCGCAAUCUCACCAUGACGGCCUUGACGGUAGUAGCCCAGAAUUUGGGAAUUUCUACAGAACUUGAAAUUGCAUGAUGUUCGAACUUCAUACAGAAGGUUCCUUAAGGAUUUCACAAAGAAAUUAUCUAGAUAUCAUAUCAUCCAAAAUAUUUGUCACGACUCUAGAUUAUAUCUUGAACGUGGCUGACAUUCGAGAACUAGCGCUAAUUUGCAAGCGAACUCCUGAUCUGGCUGACUACUCAGUUGAACACUUACUCAAGCACAAGGAAACUCUAAGAGUGUGUUUGUUAUGAAGGAAAACAUUUUCUGGAAAAUGUUUUCUAACUUUUUCAUGUUUGGUUAUGACAAAAGUUUUGAAAAAUGUUUUUCAAAUCAACUCAUUUUCCUCAAAAUUAAGGAAAAUGACUUUCCUUCAAAAAUUAAGGAAACAUUUUCCAAAACUCUCCUCCAAUUUCAAAUUACAUUUUUUUUUGGGAAAAACAUCAAUUUUAAAAAAAUAUUUUCAAUUUCAAAAUUUAUUUUUUCACCCGAUCCCUGACCCCCCCCCACCGGUCAGCCCCCUCCUCCCAACUCUACCCCCUCCCUAAAAAAUUAAUUUUGCUUUUUAAAAAUAUUUUCAACUUCAAGUUUUUAUUUUUAAACUCCUAAACCCCCAACCCCAACCCCCAAAAAAAUAAUUUUAUUUUUUUAAAAUACUAUCAACUUCAAAAAAAAUUAUUUUUUCUCUCCUCCCCUCUCCCACCCGUGACCCCCCCCACCACCACCACCACCACCACCACCACCCCAAAAAAAUAAUAAUUUUUUUUAAAAAAAUAUUUUUAAUUUGAUAAAUUAUUUUUACUCUAGUAAAAUAAAAGAUAUCUCUCAAAUCAAACACUAAAAAUUAUUUUCGGAAAAUAUUUUCUACUCACCAACCAAACAUGAGAAAAUAAAUCCAAAAUCUACUUGUUUUCCAGAAAAUCAUUUUCUAGAAAAACAUUUUCCUCCAUAUUAAACACACCCUAAAUGUAUAAUUAGAAAUAAAUGUCAAGAAUUAGUUAAUAAGGUAUGAGUUACAAUCUCAAAACAGAAAGGAAUUUACUCAGAGACUCAUCAAUCUACCUGACUAUCAAAUCUCUACUACUAGGACUCAUCAACUCUACCUGACUAUCAAAUCUCUACUACUAGGAUAGAUGUUGGGACAAGACCCACAACAACUCAACAAUAACAAGAAACUAUAAUGUGAAAUCCUUCGAAAAGCAAGGAGGCUCUCCAAAGACAGUUAGAGUGUGAGUGAUCUCAAGAAGCGUCUAUUAAUGACCAUGAACAUCUGUAUCUGUAUCAUAAUAAGAUGUAGGUCGAAUGACAUCAGUACAUUGAAUGUACUAUGUAAAGAAAACUAAAUGCAUAUAUAACUGAACGGAUAAGACUGGAAGAAUAUUCACCUCAACUCAACUCAAUAAAAAAGCAAUAAUAAACGAUGAAAUGUUUAAAGAUUCAUAAAUAAAAGAUAUUAACUCAAGGAUGCAUAUAAAAAUACAACAAAUUACUUUUUACUUUUGAGAGAUUCUCUAACUGACAACCAUCUAUAUGACCUAUGAAAUGAUAUAUCGUUUCGUCCACACUGUUAGAACUUUCCUAUACCUUGCCGGGGCAUCGAACACCUCAACUAAGUGGCUCCCCUAAAGAUCUGCUCGAAAUCAAUAAGAAAUCAUCUAAAAAGUAUGAUCAUUUUGCCCAUGUUGACUACAUGGUUUAUGAGGAAGAGUUGUUUGAACUCAUCUUCAUAUCUGAAGGAAUAUUGAUUGUAUUGAAGUGUUAACCUAAUAAGAGAAUACAUGGGAGAUAUAUAUAGGAGAUAUAGGAAGGAGUACUAAUCCUAAUAGGACUAGGAUUAAGAAAUACUAAUCCUAAUAGGACUAGGAUUAGUACACAGUAAAUACUAAUAUUAUUAAAAUCACAACUUUUCAUAAAAGUCACAACUUUUCAUAAAAAUCGCAAUUCUUCAUUAAAGUCGCAACUUUUCAUAAAGUAUAAUCAUUUUGCCCAUGUUGACUACAUGGUUUAUGAGGAAGAGUUGUCUGAACUCAUCUUCAUAUCAGUGCUCAACAGUAUUACAAUAAAAUAUAAUCAUGCUCAAAUGUAUAAAUAUAGUCUUUCUCAAUUUGAGGUGAUUGCUCAAAACAUCCUUUUAAAAGAGGUAACUGCUCUGAAAUAACUCUGAACUCAUUACUCGUUUAGAAAUAAAAAUUUCGUUUUUCUUAAUAUAAAAAUGAUAAACUCGGAGGUUAUACUCAAAUAAUAGGCUUCAUGUUAAAAUAUAGACAUGAACAAAUCAACUCAAUAAAAGUUUUUGAAAUUUUCUCAAACUCACUUUAGUUUUGAACGUGCACUAAAACAUGUGAUUUGAAUAAGCCGAAAUUUUCAAAAGUAAAUGUAACUCAUAUGAGUUAAUACAUUAGAAGGGAAACGUGGUCACUACUCAAAGGAACACGCAUAGGAUGAAACAAGGAGAGGUUGGCCCAGCAACCCACUGCACACAGGGUGCCACACCAUCAGCUUCAGAAGUUAGACCUUUUACUGUUGUUGUGAUGCCUCGGGCCCUGAACUACUAAAGUUCAGCCUUGAUGCUUUCAUGGUAUGCAAACCCAAUACCCCGAUGCAUUUUUAAAUUUAAAUUAGUACCUCAAAUUAGUUACAAUUGAGAAAUUGUUCCUAAACUCCUCUCGUUUCUUAAACUUAAAACUAAUACAUGAGUACUUCUAUACAAUUUCUUUGGAAAAACAUAAAUAUACAAAUUAAUAGGGUUCAUGUGAUACUAAGCAUGAACGACAAUAUAAGAUUCAUGAAAAAAAAAAUCAAAAUCUCAUUUGUUAAAGAAUUGAAUUCAAUAUGAAGAAUUAAGAAUAGAUCCUUUUGUUCUAACGAUUUCUUUAAUAAAUUGAGAUGUACUUGUGUGGACGAACAAGUUAAACACUUUGAGAAGCCUUACAUGCCUGGAAAGAACAAAUGUUCUCGGCAAAAAUCAAUGGAAUCUUGAAGAAUGCUUAAAACCUAACUUUUUCUCCUAUUGGAACCUUGUUCUAACUUCUCCGAGUGUUAAAAGAAUGUGAAAAGGUUUGUUUAACGCUGAUUAUACCCUUAUUGGAUAAAUAAAACGUGGCUAUGCUUAAAGGGAUGGGAAAUACCAAACUACCCCUCUAAAAAUGAUUGAGGUGCCUUAAAAGAGAGGUUUCACUAAAAUAGACAUAAAUUUUUACUUCGUGCUCAAAAGUAAGCUAUUUUGGCAGCAUUGGAAAGGACUUAAAGACCUUUAAUCUUAUAGGUCAUGGGCCACCUAAUUAUUUAUGUGCUAAGAGAUACAAUCGUUUGAAGUUGACCCAAAACUUAAAACUGAUGAUUGACUUGCUCAAAGCUCUUUUUAGCCCUUUUCAAAUUCCAAGUUGCUACAAUAUUCAUGGGCGAACACACACCAAAAAUUGAGAAAAUCAUCUAAUGCCUGUAAAUUAGCCCUUAAGUGCCAAAAUGACUCAAAAAAUGUAAGACUUUAUGUAUGGAUCUCCUAACUACCUACGGAGGAUCGUUCCAAAGUCAUAUCAUCAAAAUAUUCAAGGACUAACACAUACAAAAAAUUGAGAAAAUCACCCAAGUCCUGUAAAUUGACAAUUAAACAUGCAAAAAAAGACUCAAAAUAAUGAGACUAUACAUAUUGGUCCCCCAACUUCCAAUGGAGGGUUACAUAAAUGUUACGAAAAUAAAUCAUUUGGAAUCUAUAUCACUAUUUUAUGCAUGGGUUAACAAAAGAAAAAAAUUGAGACAAUCUUCUGAUUCUUGUAAAUUGACCCCUAAAUGCUAAAAAUGACUUAAAAUGGUGAGAUUUUAUGUAUUCCUCCUCCAAUUCUUUACGAAGGUUCCAUAAAGGUUUCACAUAGAAAUCUCACCAAAAUAUUCAUAGGCUAACACAUACAAAUAACUGAAAAAAUUGUCCAAUUCCUAUAAAUUGACCUACACUCGACCUACACUCUGUUUUUUACACUUAGGGUUGCCAAGUAAGCAAGGAGUUACUCAGAGGCAACAUGAACGAUGGUAUUACCACCCAAUGAAAUAGAUAACUUAUAUGAUUGUUGUUGUUCUCUCUCUUUAUUAUAGCCUUUACUUUUUCUAAUUUUUCCCUUUCUUUGAAUAAGAAUAGUUGUAAAUGUUUUUGGCACUACUUUGACGAUGUUUUAACAAAGACUUUUGGGAAGAGUUCAUGAUUAAAAGUCAUAAUAAUAAGGGAAAAUGCAUAAAACCUCUCCUGAACUUGGCAACAUAAUUUACUUUAACACUUUAACUUUACAGAUUAUUAUUUACCUCUUAAUUUUAUUUCAAGUGAAUUUAAUAGCACCUUACAUAUACAAUACCAAUUUCAUAUUCAUGAACGAAGUGCAUGCACGCCACCUAAGACACCUCAGUGCCUUAUCGAUGACAUGUCAGCUAAUUUGAAAAGAAAAUCUUUAUUUUUUCUUCCCUACAUCUUUUAAAAAUUUUAUUUUCACUCUGCACCCACCCUCUUCAUUAUUUCAUUUGGGUCAAUUUCUUAACAUCUAAAAUUUCACAUUGAUUGAUUCAUUUUUUUACAUUGCUUUGUAAUUAUUCACUAUUACUUCCAUCAAUACUUAUAUCAAUCACCAUAUUGUUUUUCCAACUAGGUGAAACUAUCAACUUAUACCAACAAUGACGAUUUUAAAUUUAUGCAAAAUCGAUAUGCUAAUUUUUUAGAAUUGUUGUUACUUUUCUUGUUUCACUUCUUAAUGCAUAUUCAGGUAUAGAUUAAGUAACGUUUAAAGUUAGAUUAUUUUUUAAGAAAAAUUAAAUCUCAAAAGUAAAGAAUAAAGAAAGUUAUGUGAGUCUUGAAUGUGCUUUUCUAUUUUUGUUUAACGAAAAAAUGUAUAGGAUGUAGAGUUUGAUGAAGGAGAAAGAGGAUGGGUCGGGGUUGGGGUAGGAUGUGGUGGGAGAUUGAGAAAGAAGAGACAAGCAGGGGAGGUGGGGUUUUGAGAAAGGGGUGGAGGGGUUUGAAGAAGAAGAAUGGGUACGUGGGGCUUCUUCUUUUUUUUUUUUCAUUAUAUAAUGCUAGUGGGAUCAUUAUUUUUAUUUUUUAAAAAAAGAUUUACGCGUCUUUUAACUUUUGUGCUUUUCUUUUGUUGGCACGUCAUCUGUUAAGGUGGUAUUAAAUUCACGCGAACUAAAAUUAGGGAAUAAAUAAACAUCGGUGUAGUUUAAGUGCUAAAGUAAAUUAUGUUGUCAAGUUCGGAGGAGUUUUUAUGUAUUUUCUGGACCUUUGUGAAUUUAAAAGAAAAUAGAAGACCUUUGUGAAGAACUAAGGUAGAUCCGGUUUUAUAUUGUACUUAUAUUUGUCUAUGAAGUGUAUAACUAAAGAAGAAUAUUUCGUUGGAAUCACAAAUCCGAUCCCCUAAAAGAAGCUUUAACCCUUAGGCCUAAAACGACUUAUAUGAGUUGUCUCAGUAUUGACCGACUUUAUUUUAUUAGUUCUAGCUACUUCAUUUGGCAUGCGGCAACAUGCUUGGCGAUUAAACGUGUAGAAAUUCCCUACUCCUAGUUUACUUGAAAUAGAUUCAAUGUUAAGCUCCUAGUUUAGUCCCAAUACAAAAUUACACUUAUAACUAUUAGUAAUUUUUCGGAUGGAGGAAAUUUUAACUUAAAACUCAAAAAGGCAAAUUAGUCAAUCAACUUUUAGUGAAUAUUUUGAUCAAUCAACAUUUAUAUACAUUCUUUUAUAAAAAUUAGUUUAUGGUAACGUGCUUUGCAUGUUCAUUUCAAAAGCCUAAUGCAAACUUUAUAUUGCAAAUGCUAUAUUUUAAAUAGUACAUAUUAUUGGACUUUUUUUGUGCUAUGAUAAAGAAAAAUCAAAACUUACUGAAAAUGAAAAAAAAAAAAGAAAGAAGAUACAGAGCAACAACUAUAAGUUUAUGAGAUUAGAAAAUCUUGCAAACUUUGAUGUUACUUUACUGACAUAUAUAAUACUCUAAUUUAAGAAUAAAUACAUACUCGAAUAUAUAUAGAUAUAUGUAUAUAAUAAAAGUAUUUAUCCCAUAAAAAUUAACGAUUAUGCGUGAAAAAUAAAAACUAAAUUGAUACAUAUGUUGAAUUCCAUCAUUAUCAAUUAAAAUGCGAUUAGAAGUCAUGUGAGUCUUGAUUUGAUCCAAACUCAUGAUUUUUUUCCAAAAUUAAGUAAAUAAAAAAGGGAGAUAAAUGUAUAGUAAGACUGCAUAGUGUAAAAAGAAAAAUGCAAUAUUGCACAAUCAAAAUCUAAAAAUAUGAAAUAAUAAACUAUCAGUUGUAAUACUUCAUUAAAUAGCUGAAACAUAAAAUGAUAGAGACGCAGUGAGCUAAAUAAGAAACAGGCUUUGAAAAUUAUGUUGUAAAAUUAUAUAUAAAAAAAAGGUUGCAUCACACAUAAGCAAGCAGAAACAAAAAUCAUCAAAAUCAACAAUAAAAAAAUUGACAUACUAAUGAAGAAUUAGUUGAAGAAAAAGGAAAUAGUAAUACAUAUGUAUACUAAAUGUAGUGACUGGUAGUAUUUUUUUCAACAUUAUUAUAACUAUGAAAAGUUUGAAUAAUCAAGAUAGUGAUUUUUGAGCUUCUCAAUAUAAGUAAUAGAACAAUUAAAAAAGUGGAAUAAUAAUGAAAACUUUUAGAUAGCUUAUAAGUAAUGAAAAAAAUCAUUUAUUAAUUAAACUCAAUAAAUAAGGUUCUUCAAAUAUGUAUACUAAUUUAAAGAGUAUUAAUGUUUAUUACCAAUUUAAAGUUAUUUUAGUAAUUCAAACUUUCAAUUUUGUUUGUUUUUCACUUUUAGUAUAAAAUAUAAAAUAUUUUAUUUUUGUAUAUGUGUGAUUCACCAAUAAUUUGAUUAAUAUUAUAUACUUUAUGAAAAACAUAUAUUACAUGUCUAUUUCAAAAUAUUUUUGUAUAUAUGUGAUUCACCAAUAAUUUGAUUAAUAUUAUAUACUCUAUGAAAAACAUAUAUUACAUGUCUAUUUCAAAAUACUUUGUAUAUAACUUAUUUUGCAAAUAACAAUUUUAAAUAAUUCAUAUAUUUUUCAACUUUUUCUUAGUUGAAAAAUAAAAUUCAAAAUGUAAACUUUAUAGAAAUAUACAAUGUCAUAACCAAAGAUCAACAAUAAUAUAAAGGCAAUCAUAUUUUUAGCCACAAACUCAAAUGAAGGCCAAACAAUAUUUAGUUAGUGAAAAAAUAAAAAUAAACAAAACAAAAUUAGAAAUCUACAAAGACAACUAAACGAACAAACAAAAAAUAAUGAAUCUUACCUUUUUUGUUGAUGGUGCUCAGAAAAAAUCCAAAUGAAUAUCAUAUAUUCAUAUUUAAAACAUCAAAAAUAGAUUUUAAAAAAUUGACGAAUUGAGAGUAGGCAGACAUAUGAAAAAUAUAGCUAGUACUUGUUUUUUUUUUCUUUCACAAUUUCUUGGAAUGGUCUUUUAAAAUAUCCCUUGUUACAUGUGAAAAUAAAAAAACUAAAUCAAUGAACAAAACUUAAACAUAAAGAAAAUGAAACGAUGAAAUGUAAUUGUUAAGGGGAAAAUGUUAAUGGGGAUAGGACUCCACAAUGAGACAAUGUGGACUUCAUAAAAAGAUUCCAGAGUACAGAGCAUAUUAAAGUCGGUGAUAAAUAUUAUUAAAAAUUGGGAGGUUAAAGAAACAAUAACUAAAACUCAAUAAUUAGGGGAAUAUGUAAGAGUUUUUAAUUUAUAAUAAUAUUUAAGGAAAUUGAUGUAAUUACCUUUUUGAUUAGAUAUUUAAUCAAAAUUUUAUUUAGUAAAGAGUAAAAUAGUAAUCCAAUUUUGAAUUUGGAAGCUUGCUAAUAAUAAUAAUAAUAAUAAUAAUUUAUUAUAUUAUUUUGAUGAUGAAUAAAUUAAAUAUAAAUAUAAACUAUAGAUGAUAAAUGUAAUUAAAUUAGAUAUUUUAAUUAGGAAUCAAUCUAAGGAAACCUAAAAUUUUUUAUUAAAAUGAUACAAUUUAAUAUUUAAAUUAAAUAUUUCUAUAACAUUUUAAUUUAUAAUAGGGAUAAAAUCAUAAUUCAACUUUUAACUUUUUUUGUUUCCACUUAUAAUAACAUAUAAUAUGACAUGAUGAUAAUAGGUAUAUAGAUAGAUAGAUAUAUGGAUAAAUGUAGAAAAAUAGUUAUUUUAGUAUCUCCUGGUUAAUCCAGUUCCACCAUCCACCACCUCUGCAGUUAAGAUCUCAAUUGGGAAAUCGCAGUCUGGAGUGGAAGGAUUAUUUGUUGUUAUGGUUGCUCCUGAUAAGUUGCAUUUCCGCAAAUCUUGAUUAAAAAUUUGGUAAAGCAUAUUAUAUGCAUAAGAGACCUUCUCUGUGAAACUGAGGUUAUCACACGUUGCACCAGCGCCAAACGCACUGCAGUCUGAUUUCGCACAGGCAAACUCGUAAUCUUGCAACACUAGGGACUCGUUGUGAUCCGUUUUACCAUCAAACACACACCAUCGGUUUGGCAUUCGCACCGUACCUUUUCACAAUAUAUAUAUAUAUAUAGCUAGUCAUUAUAUGGCACUAUGUAAUCCACAUAAAAUAAUAUUAGUAGCUUUGAAAAUGUUAAAUGCAAGAAAAACAAUGUCAUAUGAAGCCGAGGAAAUUAUCCAGAUGAUCACGCAAUUCAACAUAGGUAGUACCUUUGGCAACCGAGGGCUUGACAUCUCUGUUUUGCAGGGUGAAAUCAAUUUUGUACUUGGGUACACCAUCGUGUUUAUAGACACCCCAAUGUCGUUGAUAAGGUCCGUAAUCUGUAACAACCAAAUUCUCAUCUGUUAAGCUAAGGAGAUACAUAUUUAUAUCUCUAUUUGGGCGGAGUGGAGUUCCCUCCUUCCUAGCAAUAUAUUGAAGAAGGCCGCGGUUAAAUUUUUCAGCAUUUUUUUCAUUCGCACUCACAUAUCCAUCUGUAGGCCAACCAAUUUGUCCGACAAUAAUCUCCAUAUCACCAUAACCUGCCUUUGCUAGAGCAGAAACAAGUGUAUCGUACAUGAAAGUAAACAGAUUCGUGUAGGUGUUAUUUCCAUCUACGAUUUUGAACUUGGAUUUAUUAUUGAAGAAAGCAAAGUCCACAUCAAAUCCGUAUGUAUAAACUGUAAAGAUUGGGAACAUAUGGAUGACGAAAGGGGCACCAGUUCUGUUAAUGCAAUCGAGAAAUUCCAACAUUUUCCCCUUUAUGUCUUCUCGAAAAUCACCUUCUGAUGGCUUGCUAACAUUUGUUAAAACGUCCGUGAAAUGAGGAGUUGUUGCUUUGACAUCUGGGAGGUUGAAUUUAUCAAGGGCCUCUCGCGUCAUAUUCAGGUAACGGAUAGUACCAUUAAAUUGUUUUUUCAUAUAUAAUGAUUUUGUAAAGGGUUCGUUCCCCACGUACACAUACCUACAAGUUAAAUCAAUAAUAACGUCCAUUAAAA